GCGUAGCCUAGCGUGCCCUAUCGCAUUUUUCGGAUGGGCACGUUAUCUUGCUCCGAAGGCAAAGGUCACACGUUCGAAUCGUGUCGGGCGCGCCA
rnacentral:tRNA from 1 species